rnacentral:rRNA from 1 species
GAUGAACGCUGACAGAAUGCUUAACACAUGCCAGUCAACUUGGACUUCGGUUUGGGUGGCGGACGGGUGAGUAACGCGUAAAGAACUUGCCUCACAGCUAGGGACAACAUUUGGAAACGAAUGCUAAUACCUGAUAUUAUGAUUAUAUGGCAUCGUAUAAUUAUGAAAGCUAUAUGCGCUGUGAGAGAGCUUUGCGUCCCAUUAGCUAGUUGGAGAGGUAACAGCUCACCAAGGCGAUGAUGGGUAGCCGGCCUGAGAGGGUGAUCGGCCACAAGGGGACUGAGACACGGCCCUUACUCCUACGGGAGGCAGCAGUGGGGAAUAUUGGACAAUGGACCGAGAGUCUGAUCCAGCAAUUCUGUGUGCACGAUGAAGUUUUUCGGAAUGUAAAGUGCUUUCAGUUGGGAAGAAAAAAAUGACGGUACCAACAGAAGAAGUGACGGCUAAAUACGUG